UUCUUGCGGAGGCCGUUGACGACGGAGAUCCGGGUCCGAUCGGAGGACGAACCGGGUCCGCAGCCGGGGAGGCUCCGGUUGGCGGCGUUGGAGCGGUCGAGAGCCUCGAGGCGGACCUUGAGGACCUUGGCCUUCUUGAGGGCGAGGGUGACGUCGGCGUCCAUGCGAGAUCGGAGGUCCUUGACAGCCUUGGCGUUGUGGAGCGUCUUGCUGUGCUCGUGAGAGGACUGGAGGUUCUGGUGGAGGCGCUCCAGCUCCUUGAGCUCGUCCUUCACGGACUCCGCGUCGCCGAAGAACUUGUCGAGGUUGACGCCACCGGUGCUCG
rnacentral:lncRNA from 1 species